rnacentral:rRNA from 1 species
UACUAGAGUAGCACUCGCAUAUCAAUAAGCGGAGGAAAAGAAACUAACAAGGAUUCCCCUAGUAACGGCGAGUGAAGCGGGAAGAGCUCAGAUUUGAAAUCUUAAAGGGUUUCCCUUUACGAAUUGCAGUUUAAAGAAGUGUUUUCUGUUGAGGUUUUGGUAAAAGUUCUUUGGAAUAGGACAUCAUAGAGGGUGAGAAUCCCGUAUUUGACCUUUACUUUCAACUUUGUGAUACACUUUCAAAGAGUCGGAUUGUUUGGGAAUGCAGUCCAAAAUGGGUGGUAAAUUUCAUCUAAAGCUAAAUAUUGGCGAGAGACCGAUAGCGAACAAGUACCGUGAGGGAAAGAUGAAAAGAACUUUGAAAAGAGAGUUAAACAGUACGUGAAAUUGUCAAAAGGGAAGCGUUUGACACCAGUGUUGCUUUUUCUGAAAAUCAAUUAAAGAACUGUUUAUGCUAAGCUGUUUAGACUUUAUCAGCUAAUCUGUUUAGUUUUGAGCUUUUCUUUAAUGCACUUUUCAGUUAACAAGUCAACAUCAAUUUCUUUUGCUGUAAAAAAGCUUGAGGAAGGUGGCUUGAGAUUCGUCUUAAGUGUUUAUAGCCUCUUGCCUAUGCAGUCGGAGAGAUUGAGGUCUGCAGCGUAGAUCCUUCGGGGCUAAAUGCAUUUGUGCUAAGUUAUAGCAUUUUAUAGACAACUUGUUGACUAUGAUUUGUCUUGUAGCUUACUCGCUUAUGUUAUUUUACCUACGCUUAGGAUGUUGAUAUCGCGCUCUCACUG